rnacentral:rRNA from 1 species
AGUAGUACCUGCCCCCUGAAAUUUUGAAGGGCUGCAGUAUUUUAACUGUACAAAGGUAGCAUAAUCAAUAGUUUUUUAAUUGAAAGCUAGAAUGAAUGGUUUGAUGAGAAAAUUACUGUUUCAGUAUUAAUUUUUAAAAUUUUAUUUUUAAGUAAAAAAGCUUAAAUAAGUUUAAAAGACGAGAAGACCCUAUAGAAUUUAAUUAUUUUUUUUUUUAAAAUUAAAGAAUUUAUAUUUUUAGAUUCUAUAAAUAAUUUAAUUGGGGUGAUUAAAAAAUUUAAUUAACUUUUUUUAUUUAAAUCAUUUAUUUAUGAGUAUUUGAUCCAUUUAUAUGAUUAUAAGAUU